rnacentral:rRNA from 1 species
GUUUGAAAACUCAAAGGAAUUGACGGGGGCCCGCACAAGCGGUGGAUUAUGUGGUUUAAUUCGAUGAUACGCGAGGAACCUUACCAAGGCUUAAAUGGGAAUUGAUCGGUUUAGAAAUAGACCUUCCUUCGGGCAAUUUUCAAGGUGCCGCAUGGUUGUCGUCAGCUCGUGCCGUGAGGUGUUAGGUUAAGUCCUGCAACGAGCGCAACCCCUGUCACUAGUUGCCAUCAUUCAGUUGGGGACUCUAGUGGGACUGCCUACGCAAGUAGAGAGGAAGGUGGGGAUGACGUCAAAUCAUCACGGCCCUUACGCCUUGGGCCACACACGUAAUACAAUGGCCGGUACAGAGGGCAGCUACACAGCGAUGUGAUGCAAAUCUCGAAAGCCGGUCUCAGUUCGGAUUGGAGUCUGCAACUCGACUCUAUGAAGCUGGAAUCGCUAGUAAUCGCGCAUCAGCCAUGGCGCGGUGAAUACGUUCCCGGGCCUUGUACACACCGCCCGUCAAGCCAUGGAAGUCUGGGGUACCUGAAGUCGGUGACCGUAAAAGGAGCUGCCUAGGGUAAAACAGGUAUCUAGGGCUAAGUCGUAACAAGGU